CAGCCUCAGGAUGUUUGGCGCCAUGCUUCGUGUGCGCGUCAUAUUUCCGCGGGAAACAGAAGCACAAACGUGUAAUUGUGCGUUAUCGGUUAAUAUUAGGUUGAUCUAAGCCAUCCGCGACGAAUUGCACUUACAUUGCCUACUGCUGCUGUUGCUGUUGCUGUUACCGUUGAUCCUCCACUUCCACCUACUAAUCCUCCACCUGCUACACCUCCUACUGCUACACUACCAGCAGCAGCAGCGCUACCUACUCCAAUGGUUGCUAAGCUCGAUGAACCCGACGACACCGAGGCCGAUCUCUGAUGGUAGUAUCCUUUCUGUGGCAUUCCUUUCUGUGACAGCGUGACAGAGCACAUGCUUCAUCAAACGUACAGACCAAACACAUACGCACACACGCACACAACAGCGACACAACAACAAUGGGUGCGGGAAAAGCAAAGGAAACAGCAAUGCAAGUGCUUCCGGAAGUGGCGGCUUGUCUGGCGAUAUACCUUCACUAACGCACAAACACUCUCUCACACACACACAAACACACGCAAACCGCGACAGAGCACGGUGCGAGCGGAGACAAACAAAACAGGCUAUGUGCGGAUCGGAUGCUUUGUGCAACACAAUGCCAAUGGGCCGGCUGCUCCACUGCACACUCACACACACGGCGCAGUGUUUUUCGUCCUAACAAAACUGGCGACAGCUGUCAGUCAGUGAGCGCAGCACAGAAGCAACACCAUAAGCGAGGUUAUGAGCGCAAGCGCGAUCAACAAAAAAAACACGCACGAGGCAGGCGCGUCAACACACGGCUGUUUUCAAGCACACAACACAACUGCGCAGCAGAUUAGAGAAGGGAAGCGCGGUUGCUGAAUCUUCUACGCGUGCCUUUCUUCUUCGCAAUGUGACACACACGCGCUCCCUUUUUUGCACAAUGCGAUGCAGACCUUAUUGGUGGGAUUUAUUACAUUUGCACACGCGUGGUUAAGCACUUUUCUUCCGUUUGUUUUGCUAAGGCAGAGUAGUAGUUGUACAGUGCUGAUGCCGUAGUAGCAAGAGUGUUGUUAUACCAUUCGGUAGAAUAGUUGUGCCUGUUGGCGAUAAAACGCGUUUAGGGAAAGCUAAUCCACGGAUGGAUUGUUGUUUGGAUCGUUGUUAUCACACCACACCAUAUACGGACGCGCACUGAAUUAGCGAGUUCAACACAACAGCAACGCAUUAAUGGCCCUUCAAAGCGGCACGAGGGACAGCGAGACGACACAAACCACCACCACAAACCGACCGUAAGAACAUUCCCCAGCGAACUAACAAACACAUGGUGGUGCUGCGCGCAUCUAAUGCGAGUCGAGAGAUGAGCGCCGCACACACGAGAGCGGAGAAUACAUGGACACCGCACGGGGUAACGAAAAACGCUUCAUGCGCGGGCGCUUCUCAAUACGCACACGCACACAGCGUCAUCGUAGCACGUUUAGCUGCGCCAGCGACAUUCGGUGCAUUCAGUGCAUACCACCGACAAAACAAAUGCACCCGCUAACGUCCCUAACUAAACGACUGCUACCUAUCUACUGCACCGCACACAACCACACGCAUGCGGCCAUUUCUCUGCCGGAUGCUCUCGAGCUAAUUCGCGAUGCAUAAAACAAAACAAAAAGGGCAGAUGCGGCACAAGAACCAGAACCACAGCAACAUAUACGGCGGCCUCGGGAGGUUGAGCGGACGGGGGAUAGGGGGUAAUAAGUAUGCUGUGCGCCGUCGCUAUGCAAAUGUGCAACGCACAUAUCUUACCCCCCUGGGCUCAGCCGCGAAUAAAGGGCCGAGAGGUUGAUCACCGGUUGAGUCCGAGUGUUGUGUGGGUCGUACCAUUCACCCGCUGUUGCUGGGAAGCGUAGUGUGCGUGUGUCUGUGCCUGUAUGUUUGUUGUUUUAAAAUACAUAAACUGCAGUACCAGCAGCAUUAAAAAUGCGAUCACAGCAAUCCACUCUUUUUUGAAUUCGUCUAUCGCGAAGAAAGAUCUUCCAGCGCUUAAGAAAGCGAAAUCAAACACAGCUUAAGAUCGCGUUGUAAGCCAUCGGAUCUUGAAAAACAACCAGGCGCGGCUUUGUAAACAAAUUGAUAUGCAGGCAAAGAACUUCGAAUCCUCCUGCAGGGUAAUUCCACCAAAAAGCGGUGUGCACCGUUCUACUCAUUUGACGAUGGAUGACGAUGGAUGGAGUAUUUUUAAUAUGCUUUUUUUUGUAUUUACUACCUUAUUAUAAAUAAAGCUGUUUUGUUUGCCCUUGCUGCCUAUUAUCCUUAAA